rnacentral:rRNA from 1 species
CAAUAGCGUAUAUUAAAGUUGUUGCGGUUAAAAAGCUCGUAGUUGGAUUUCUGCUGAGGACGAUCGGUCCGCCCACUGGGUGAGUAUCUGGCUCGGCCUUGGCAUCUUCUUGGAGAACGUUGCUGCACUUGACUGUGUGGUGCGGUAUCCAGGACUUUUACUUUGAGGAAAUUAGAGUGUUUCAAGCAGGCGCACGCCUUGAAUACAUUAGCAUGGAAUAAUAAGAUAGGACCUUGGUUCUAUUUUGUUGGUUUCUAGAGCUGAGGUAAUGAUUAAUAGGGAUAGUUGGGGGCAUUCGUAUUUAACUGUCAGAGGUGAAAUUCUUGGAUUUAUGAAAGACGAACUACUGCGAAAGCAUUUGCCAAGGAUGUUUUCAUUAA